AGCGAACGCUGGCGGCAGGCCUAGCACAUGCAAGUCGAACGAACUCUUCGGAGUUAGUGGCGGACGGGUGAGUAACACGUGGGAACGUGCCUUUUGGUUCGGAAUAACUCAGGGAAACUUGUGCUAAUACCGAAUGUGCCCUUCGGGGGAAAGAUUUAUCGCCAUUAGAGCGGCCCGCGUCUGAUUAGCUAGUUGGUGAGGUAACGGCUCACCAAGGCGACGAUCAGUAGCUGGUCUGAGAGGAUGACCAGCCACACUGGGACUGAGACACGGCCCAGACUCCUACGGGAGGCAGCAGUGGGGAAUCUUGCGCAAUGGGCGAAAGCCUGACGCAGCCAUGCCGUGUGAAUGAUGAAGGUCUUAGGAUUGUAAAAUUCUUUCACCGGGGACGAUAAUGACGGUACCCGGAGAAGAAGCCCCGGCUAACUUCGUG
rnacentral:rRNA from 1 species